AAAUUGAAGAGUUUGAUCAUGGCUCAGAUUGAACGCUGGCGGCAGGCCUAACACAUGCAAGUCGAACGGUAGCACAGAGAGCUUGCUCUCGGGUGACGAGUGGCGGACGGGUGAGUAAUGUCUGGGAAACUGCCUGAUGGAGGGGGAUAACUACUGGAAACGGUAGCUAAUACCGCAUAACGUCGCAAGACCAAAGUGGGGGACCUUCGGGCCUCAUGCCAUCAGAUGUGCCCAGAUGGGAUUAGCUUGUAGGUGAGGUAACGGCUCACCUAGGCGACGAUCCCUAGCUGGUCUGAGAGGAUGACCAGCCACACUGGAACUGAGACACGGUCCAGACUCCUACGGGAGGCAGCAGUGGGGAAUAUUGCACAAUGGGCGCAAGCCUGAUG
rnacentral:rRNA from 1 species